rnacentral:lncRNA from 1 species
AUGCACUCAUCUGCUUUAAAAGGAAAGGAAUUCCUACUUGACCACUUUUCCCAUCUGAAAUUCUUUCCUCAAACUCAAAAUAUAGUAAUCAGGAGUAGAAAGUUGCUUUAUUUCAGGAUGUAUCAGAGCCCUUGUCCAGUAGCUUUCUGGAAACUCAGCAUAGCAAAGUGCAUAGCUUUUGCAGGUUGGGCCAUCUUAUCCCAAUGUCCUAAACUGGAUUCACUUUCAGCAGUCUCAGGGGUACUUGUUUGUCAGUGUUUGGUCUAAAUUGCUUUCUGGUCCUGUGUGAUAAGUACUAGUUUUGUAUAAUAGCUUCUCACUGAUCACUUUUUCUCCAGUUAAAUUUAUACGACCGGUAUCCCAAAAUGAAGGAGAGGCUGCCUACGUACCAGUUUAACUUUACUGAUUCCCUUAUGCUGCAUGUAUGCAGUGGCAUGAUCUCAGCUCACUAUAACCUCUACCCUCUACCUCCUGGGUUCAAGUGAUUCUCCUGCCUCAGCCUCCCGAAUAGAUGGGAUUACAGGCAUGCGCUAUCAUGCCUGGCUGUUUUUUGUAUUAUUAGUAGAGAUGGGGUUUCACCAUGUUGGCCAGGCUGGUCUUGAACUCCAGACCUCAAGUGAUCUACCCACCUUGGCCUCCCAAAGUGCUGGGAUUACAGGUGUGAGCCACUGCGCCCAGCCAAUCUGCAUAACUUUAGAUGAGAAGUUGGAAACAAGUUGGGAGAUUCAUGAGACAUAAUCUGUUCAGUAAACUUGUGCUAUUAUUUCUGCCAGCAGUCCCAAAGAAACAAUCAUCUGUAUGUGGUUAAAUCAUUGCACUUCCUCCUAAAUAAAUCCCUCCUUUUGCAUUUCCUGGCAUGAUUAGCGAAUUUUUACUCCCUCUUUAUGCCAUACUCUAGCCAUAGCCAACUUUAAACCUUCCUGUUCACUUGUAUUUACAAUAUGAAGUCCCAUUCAGGGAACUUUUAUAAUAUCUUGUGAUAAUUCUUAUUCCUUUUCCACUCUUACUUCCCUCAAAUUCAAGUUUUCAUUUAUGGAAUUUAAUGGGUCCCCUUUCUACACUUAUAUUGUUCUUGUAAUACCUUUUUCAAAAACACUGACCACAUUGUACUAUAACCUUUUAUUGAAGGCCAGUGUCUUCUACUGAGAUUUCCAAGACAGAGCUAUCACUUAUGUGCCUCAGUGUCUCCAGAUCCUAGUGCAGGGCCUGUUAACGAAUAAGUUCUCAAUAAGUGACUGUUGAACAAAGAUUUUCUUAGCGCAUCUGCUAUCUCUAGUCUCUCCUCCCAUGUAUCUUCAGCCAAACCAUGAUAUUAAAAUUCUUUUUUUUUUUUUUUGAGACAGGGUGUCACUCUGUCACCCAGACUGGAGUGCAGUGGUGCUAUCACAGAUCACUGUGGACUGGACCUCCCAGGCUCCAGUGAUCCUCUCACCUCAACCUCCUAAGUAGCUGGGACCACAGGCAUGUGACACCCAGCCUGGCUAAUUUUCAAUUAUUUAUUUUUUUUUUUUGCAGAGAUGGGGUCUCUCUGUGUUGCCCAGGCUAGAUUCAAACACUCCUAAAGUGCUGGAAUUACAGGCAUGAGCCACCACACACCCAGUCUUUUUUUCUUUUUUGUUUGUAUAAAUUUAAGGUGUACAAAUGUGAUGAUGUUACAUGGAUAUAUUGCAUAGUCGUGAAGUCUGGUCUUUAAGAGUAACCAUCACCUAAAUAAUGUACAUCUGGUCUUUAAGAGUAACCAUCACCUAAAUAAUGUACAUUGUACCCAUUAAAUAAUUUCUCAUUCCUCAUCUCCCUUUCACCCUUCCUAGUCUCCAGUGUCUAUUAUUCCACAGAGGAUGUCCAUGUGUACACUUUAUUUAGUUCCCACUUAUAAGUGAGAACAUAUGGUAUUUGACUGAGUUAUUUUACUUCAGAUAAUGGCCUUUCAUUCAUGUUGCUGCAAAAAACAUGAUUUCAUUCUUUUUUAUAGCAGAAUAGCACUUAAUUUUUUUGUGUAUAUAUAUAUACACACACACAUAGAUACACAUAUACAUAUAUAGUAUCUAUGUAUAUAUACACACAUAUACAUAUAUACAUAUAUACACAUAUACAUACAUAUAGUAUUUCAUUUGUAUACAUCUAUGUAUUAUAUAUAUACUAAAUACUAUUCUGCUAUAAAAAAAGAAUGAAAUUAUAUAUAAUUUUCUUUGUCCAAUCAUCUGUUGAUGAACAUUUACGUUGAUUUCAUAUAUUUGCAAUUGUGAAUAGUGCUGUGAUGAACAUAUAUGUGCAGGUAUCUUUUUCACAUAAUGAUUUUUUUUUCCUUAGACACCUAGUAGUAGAAUUGCUGGACCAAAUGGUAGUUCUACUUUUAGUUUUUGGAAGAAUAUCCAUAUUGUUUUCUUUUUUCCUUUAAUUUUUAACUUUUGUGAGUACAUAGUAGGUGUAUAUAUUUGUGGGGUAUAUGAGAUGUUUUGAAGCAGUCAUGCAGUGUGAAAUAUGCACACCAUGGAUAAAGGGGUAUCCAUCCCCUAAAGCAUUUAUCCUUUGUGUUACAAACAAUUCGAUUAUACUCUUUUAGUUGUAAUAAAACAUAAAAUGAUUAUUGACUAUAGUCACCUUGUUGUGCUACCAAAUUGUAGAUCUUAUUCAUUCUUUCUAUUUUUCUUUGUAACAACCACCCCUAUCUCCCGCCCAGCCCCCCAUUACCCUUCCCAGCCUCUGGUUCUAUUAUCUAUUCUUUAUGCCCAUCUUUCUAUUCUUUAUGUCCAUGAGCUCAAUUAUUUUUAUUUUUGGAUCCUACAAAUAAGUGAGUACAUUUGAUGUUUGUCUUUCCAUGCCUCACUUAUUUCACUUAACAUAAUGAUCUCCAGUUCCAUCUAUGUUGUUGCAAAUGACGGGAUCUUAUUCCUUUUUAUGGCUGAAUAGCACUCCGGUGUGUGUAUAUACUCCAUUUUCUUUAUCCGUUCAUCUGUUGAUGGACACUUAUGUUGCUUCCUAAUCUUGGCUAUUGUGAACAGAGCUGCAACAAACAUGGGAGUGCAGAUAUCUCAUCAACAUACUGAUGUCCUUUCUUUUGGGUAUAUACCCAGCAGUAGGAUUGCUGGAUCAUAUGGUAGCUCAAUUUUUAGGAACCUCCAAGCUGUUCUCCAUAGUGGGUGCACUACUUUACAUUCCCGCUAACAGUGUAUGAGAGUCCUUUUUACUCUGUAUCUUUGCCAGCAUCUGUUAUUUUUUGCAUUUUUGAUAAUAUCCAUUUGGACUUUGGUAAGAUGGUAUCUCAUUGUGAUUUUAAUUUGCAUUUCUCCAGUGAGUAGUGACACUGAGAAUGCUUUUUUUUUGGCUUGUUGGCCAGAUGUCAAAAUUCCAAAAGUAGAUUUCCAUGCAUGAAACUCAACUGGUCAAAAACACUCAUUGACACUAUAUUGCUUAACAAGGUGAAGACUCCUUAGCUUGAUACUCAAGGCCUUCUUAAUCUGCACGGCCUUCCGAAUUUUUUCCCAAUCAUUGCUCCAGGAAGACUACAACAAAGCUGAGCUGCACUACUUGCGUUUCUCCUAUACCAAUUGCCCAUCUGUGCUUUGCUCAUAUAGUUUCUCAAACUCAAAUGGCUUCCUCCUUUUUUAAAAAAAAAUCUUUGAGUUCCCUCUUCAUGUAUUCUAUAACCCUUCCAAUUCUAAGUUACUAAGUAAACUUUUAUAUCAUUCCUAACAUGUCCCAGAUAGUGUGUGCAGCAGGGGACAUAUAAAUAUAGCAGAG